rnacentral:tRNA from 1 species
UUGUUAAUGACCGAGUAAGGUAAUAGACUGUAGAUCUAUCAACGGACCACUACAUCCUUAACAAA